rnacentral:lncRNA from 1 species
AGGAGCCACAAGGCAGGCCAUGGUUUCAUCGAACAGCCGGGAGUGGAGCGGGAUAGCGGCGCUCACUUCAGUGAGCCCAGCUUGAACCCCACCAUUGGCGUCCUGGGCACCACUCUGAAUAAGCUGCUUCAGUUGUGACUUGUAGCACAAAGUUUCUGUCACGCAGUUCGUCGUCAUCUCUGAACCAAAGCAUUGGUCCUGCCUGCUAGUCACCACUUGAAUAAAAGUUGGAAUGGUGCAGUGUGUUUGUGUAAAUAAACUGUUGAAGUUUUGACAG